CGAACCAUGACCUCCUGGUUCAUAGGUUGAAGCUCAACCACUGAGCCAUUCAAGCCAGGCAGAAAUGUUUUAUUUUUGACAGUGUAUCAUUGUCAUCAUUUGUGUCAUUGUAAAUAUUCAUGCAGUUCAAGAUGCUAUUCUACGCACUUUUUCAAGUUCAUUUAAUCCCUGUAACAAUCUUGCAAGGUAGUUAGGUACAGUUACUCUGCAAACCACAGCAGAGAUGGAGAGAGAGGCCAAGUGACUCAUUCAUAGUCACACUAGUAAGUGGCACAGGACUCAGACAUAAUUGUUGUAUCUUCAAAGUCUGUGCUCUUUAUUACUAAUACUACAUUGCCUAAACUAUAUUUAUGCCUAUCUAACUGUCUACUUUAGGAUUUAUUUGGAAAAUAGGAAAUAAAAAAGAGGAGAAAUGAUCUGGAAUGGUUUAUUAUAGUUCUGAAGAAUAGAAGCAUCAUAAUCGAGGCCAAUAAGUACCUCCGCUUCCCAGUAUUAUGUGACAGCAUCUUAACUCAGACCGCAUGUCAUUUUCCAGUGUGCUCCACCUGAGACAGGUCAGAUGCCUCCGUGAUCUUUUCGUAGUUUCCAGAGUGCUGUUUCCAGCAAGAGUUGGGAGUCAGCCUUCAACAAUGAUAGCAGUCUUAUUAAAUGACUUUUUAUGCCUCAAAGUUCAUUUAUUCUUUGAUUAAUGAAUGUUUCGCUGUUAUCUUUUGUGUCUUUAUAAAUUCUGCUGUAUAUUAAACUAUCCCUUCAGACUAUG